ACUUCACAUAGAGCUUUGUCACACACUACAUGGAAGGGCAUUUUUAAAAAACCCAUAAUAUGGGCUCUUUAAAAUGCCCCGCAACAAUAAAAGCAGUCUCCAGGUGAGCAGUCUGUUGUUUGCUGAUGACUGCAUGAAGUUCGUUCAUAGCAAGCUUGGCAUGAGCACCAAGAGGAAUAUAAGCAGCAGCCACAGUGGUGGAUGUGAACUCCCUUGGUAGAUAAAACGGUCUACAUUAAACCAUUAGAAAUUCCAGGCUAGCAGAGCAAUGUCUCCCAAUUGAAAUGGGGUGAUCCCCAAAGGGGAGGGGUUUCCCAUUUGUAUGUGUGUAAUGGGGGAUCCCCAAGGGGGAGGGGUUUCCCAUUAUGUUUAGGUGAAUGGAGUCAGAAAUUAAGCUCACCGCCCCUUUAAAAGUGUGGAGGUUUCCCUUUACUUCCGUUUUCUCCCUGGCAUGGAAUAGUGGCGGUGUCUUGAGUGCGUGCAAACUUUUGAUGUGUAUUGAGCAGUAAGCCUGCAGUGUUUAUAGAAACCUGUGCAAGGUUGUCUUUCUGUAAUUCUGCUUCUUUGGCCUGCGGAAGUGCAAUCUCAUCAGCGAGUAACGGUAUGUUUCUGUUUAUGUCUCCGGUUAUUUCUAGUGAGUUUUAGUGCUGUUAAUUAAUAUUAAAUAAUUCUUUCAGCUGUAUCCUUGUAUGAUCGGUGGAUUGCUCACCAUUUGUGUUGAGAGCCAGUUGACUGGGCUGCGGACUGCCCGUUGCUGUUUUGCUGCUGUCUGGUGACCCGAUUGUCCUACAGAGAGGGGAUUCACUUUCCUUUCGGCACCUGAUUGUGUGUGACCCAGUCGCGUCAAGUCAGAGUAUGUGGUUGUGUGUGUGUGUGUGUGUGUGUGUGCACGCUUAUUGUGCGAGCGUGCGCUCAUUCUUUGACAUUGGUGCGUUUGUGAGUGUGCGUGUAUGUGUGUGCGUGUUGUGAUCUAACUAUUUGGUGGGUUUGUAUUUUGUUUGUGUAAAUUGUGAAGGGCUGUUGUUGUUUAUUUUCCAUUUCAAUACUAACAGCAAGGAUUGCCUUAUAUGGGGAGGGUUGUUUUAUUUUGGCUUUGUUUGUUAUGCGGGUGGUUUAUUUUGAGUGUGGGUUAGUUUCUUUCUUUAUUAAUAAGGAGUGCGUUUUGUUUUGUUGCAUUUUUUAUUUUCCCCUUGAUCUUUCCAAAAUGUAGGUAUAUCCUGUGUAAUAUUGAGUGUGAUUAAACAGUGGUCACUGACAACUAUUAUACAAACAGAAUUGUAUGGUUUUGUGACUCAUUGUAAUUGACUACAUGUUUUAUAUGAUUACAUUUUAAAAAUAUGUAUAUAUUUAAGUGUCUAAUAAAAGAAGAUUGUUUGUACACAUCAA